CUGGAAGGAGUGGAACCAGGUUCCAGUCCUCCCUCACAUCAUUUAAGAGCUGGCUGCUGUAAAGGAAGGCUUUCUAUCUGGAGGUUCCUCCUUCUGUUGUACUUGUUGAGCCCUGAUCCUUGGGACAGUUGUGCCCGGGACCAGCAGUGUCUCUGACAACAGCAUCAUAAUGAGCUGAAUCUCUGAAGCUACAAACUGCUGGAUGCCUCUCUGGAUAUGUAAUCCCUGCACUUGGAACCCAUUGGAUGAUGCUUGGAGUCCUUUAGAAGACUUUAACAUGGUUUUGGAAAGGAAGAGCUGGAGGAGAUUCAGCCAUAAAAAGCUGGAUGGAGGCUGAAGAGUGCAACGUGCCUGGGAACUGUGAGACAGGAUCAGCAGCCAGCUUUGAUCAGGGAAGAUGAAUUUGAGAGCAGAUUCUUUCAUAGCAACUCAGAACAGGGAUUUGGCACCUCCCGAUGAAUUGGGGGAGACGGACUUUUGCUGUGACCCAUUCCAUGAUCACAGUUCACUUGUGAUCCUUUGUAUUGAGUUAUGCUGCAUGUUGGCAGCAGUUCUUGUCCUUAAAAGAACACAACCAAAAUAAAGAUCAGUUGCCUUGCCUUUUUAACUGUAACUAAUUGCUAAUGUUGUUACAGUGGAAAGAAUACUUUAAAACUGAGUUGGACCUUUGUAUUUUAAUUGACUGACUUUUGUGUUUCACCUGGCUUGCUCAGAAAUCAGAAUUGACUUUGCUUACUUUUUCUGUUCAGAAUCACUUUCUGGCUGUUUGCCCAGACCAGAAGAGCCCCAGGCUCUUCAAUACUGAAUGCAGACUGAAAGUGGGGCCAAACUAUUCUCUAAAAUGUUCUGCUUUGAAUAAAGAGAUGGCUGUAAUUGACUGAAGUUUUCUUUUACUCUUCCAUAAACUGGAAAAUGUAACCCCAUGUCACUGGAGAAUCAUGAAUUUUUGUCAGUGGGCAGUUUUGUUAAUGGUGAGUCAUGAUUUAAAAAAAAAAAAGGAGGAAAUUAAGAAUUCUUGUUAGUAUUUUGAAAACAAAU
ensembl:lncRNA